UUUGAAUUUUUUUUUGAGUUA
rnacentral:piRNA from 1 species